rnacentral:rRNA from 1 species
UACGUAGGGGGCAAGCGUUGUCCGGAAUCAUUGGGCGUAAAGCGCGUGUAGGCGGCUCGAUAAGUCUGCUGUGAAAGUCCAGGGCUCAACCCUGGGAUGCCGGUGGAUACUGUCGAGCUCGAGUCCGGAGAGGCGAGUGGAAUUCCCAGUGUAGCGGUGAAAUGCGUAGAUAUUGGGAGGAACACCGGUGGCGAAGGCGGCUCACUGGACCGGUACUGACGCUGAGACGCGAAAGCCAGGGGAGCAAACGGG